GACGAACGCUGGCGGCGUGCUUAACACAUGCAAGUCGUACGGUAAGGCCCUUUCGGGGGUACACGAGUGGCGAACGGGUGAGUAACACGUGAGUAACCUGCCCACAACUUUGGGAUAACGCUAGGAAACUGGUGCUAAUACUGGAUAUGUUCUCCUGCUGCAUGGUGGGGGUUGGAAAGCUCCGGCGGUUGUGGAUGGACUCGCGGCCUAUCAGCUUGUUGGUGGGGUAGUGGCCUACCAAGGCGGCGACGGGUAGCCGGCCUGAGAGGGUGACCGGCCAAAUUGGGACUGAGAUACGGCCCAGACUCCUACGGGAGGCAGCAGUGGGGAAUAUUGCACAAUGGGCGCAAGCCUGAUGCAGCAACGCCGCGUGCGGGAUGACGGCCUUCGGGUUGUAAACCGCUUUCAGCAGGGACGAAGCUUUUUGUGACGGUACCUGCAGAAGAAGCACCGGCUAACUACGUG
rnacentral:rRNA from 1 species